GGAAAAAUGUAAAGCGUUAUGUGGAUCGAACAUUAGUAGAGAAGCGUGUGAGCCAGCUGCCAAGAAAAGCCGCUAUUGCUUCAUAAGUACCCGUACCGUAAACCGACACAGGUGGAUGAGGAGAGAAUCCUAAGGCCGGCGGGAGAAGUGUUGUUAAGGAACUCGGCAAAAUGACUCCGUAACUUCGGGAGAAGGAGUGCCACAGAGAUGUGGCCGCAGAGAAAUGGCCCAAGCAACUGUUUAGCAAAAACACAGGUCUAUGCAAAACCGAAAGGUGAGGUAUAUGGGCUGACGCCUGCCCGGUGCUGGAAGGUUAAGAGGAGAGGUUAGAGCAAUCGAAGCUUUGAAUUUAAGCCCCAGUAAACGGCGGCCGUAACUAUAACGGUCCUAAGGUAGCGAAAUUCCUUGUCGGGUAAGUUCCGACCCGCACGAAAGGCGUAAUGAUUUGGGCACUGUCUCAACAACACACCCGGUGAAAUUGAAAUACCAGUGAAGAUGCUGGUUACCUGCGCCAGGACGGAAAGACCCCAUGGAGCUUUACUCCAGUUUGAUACUGGGAUUCGGUACUGUCUGUACAGGAUAGGUGGGAGGCUAGGAAAUGGUGACGCCAGUUGCCAUGGAGCCAACCUUGGGAUACCACCCUUACAGUACUGGGUUUCUAACCUGCAGCCGUGACCCGGCUGGGGGACAAUGUCUGACGGGGAGUUUGACUGGGGCGGUCGCCUCCGAAAGAGUAUCGGAGGCGCUCAAAGGUUCCCUCAGAACGGUUGGAAACCGUUCGAAGAGUGCAAAGGCAGAAGGGAGCUUGACUGCGACACCGACGGGUGGAGCAGAUACGAAAGUAGGACUUAGUGAUCCGGUGGUAUAAAGUGGGAUUGCCAUCGCUCAACGGAUAAAAGCUACCCUGGGAUAACAGGCUUAUCACUCCCAAGAGUUCACAUCGACGGAGUGGUUUGGCACCUCGAUGUCGGCUCAUCGCAUCCUGGAGCUGUAGCAGGUUCCAAGGGUUGGGCUGUUCGCCCAUUAAAGCGGUACGCGAGCUGGGUUCAGAACGUCGUGAGACAGUUCGGUCCCUAUCCGGCGUGGGCGUAGGAUAUUUGAGAGGAGCUGUCCUUAGUACGAGAGGACCGGGAUGGACAAACCUCUGGUGUAUCUGUUGUUUUACCAAAGGCAUGGCAGAGUAGCCAAGUUUGGCAGGGAUAAACGCUGAAGGCAUCUAAGCGUGAAGCCCCCCUCAAGAUAAGAUAUCCCAUCUUCGGAGUAAGACCCCUUGAAGACUACAAGGUUGAUAGGCUUCAGGUGUAAGUGUGGUAACGCACUCAGCUGAGAAGUACUAAUAGGUCGAGGACUAUU
rnacentral:rRNA from 1 species